CUACGGGGGGCUGCAGUGAGGAAUAUUGCACAAUGGGGGGAACCCUGAUGCAGCAACGCCGCGUGGAGGAUGACGCAUUUCGGUGUGUAAACUCCUUUUAUAUGUCAAGAAAAUGACGGUAGCAUAUGAAUAAGCACCGGCUAACUCCGUGCCAGCAGCCGCGGUAAUACGGAGGGUGCAAGCGUUACUCGGAAUCACUGGGCGUAAAGGACGCGUAGGCGGGUUGGAAAGUCAGGUGUGAGAUCCUACAGCUUAACUGUAGAACUGCACUUGAAACUUCUAAUCUAGAGUAUGGGAGGGGGAGGUGGAAUUAGUGGUGUAGGGGUAAAAUCCGUAGAUAUCACUAGGAAUACCUAAAGCGAAGGCGAUCUCCUGGAACAUUACUGACGCUAAGGCGUGAAAGCGUGGGGAGCAAACAGGAUUAGAUACCCCGGUAGUC
rnacentral:rRNA from 1 species